rnacentral:rRNA from 1 species
UGGGGAAUCUUCACAAUGGACGAAAGUCUGAUGGAGCAACGCCGCGUGAGCGAUGAAGGCCUUCGGGUCGUAAAGCUCUGUUGUUAGGGAAGAACAAGUANCGGAGUAACUGCCGGUACCUUGACGGUACCUAACCAGAAAGCCACGGCUAACUACGUG